GAUUGAGUCUUACUUCCUUUGCUUUCAAUUCGGAAAUGCACCUGUUCUCCAGAUAGAUCACUGAGGCUUGAGUGGAGGGUUUCUGUAGAGACAUCCCAAAAUCUUUUAUUCUCUGCACAGUUUCCGAUUGUGGGUCCCUGUUUUACUUAGCAUCUACUGCAAGAUGCAGCUUCUCUGGAGUGUGGACCCAGUGUGUCUUGCUGGCGUUGGCAGAGUAAUCUACCACUCUGUUGGAGGAGGGCUGCAGUGACGCUGUGACAUUUUCCUGCAGGGCUCAUGAUGGUUGCCGCGGCUGCAGCAAUCCCCUUGAACAGACAUGCCUGCCUCUCACAGUCAUCUUUGCAACUCUUGGCUUCUUGCUGCUUCUUUCCUCACAAGUGCUCAGUGAGCUCUCACUUCUUCAGAACCAGUCAUAUUUGCAUAAAAUUGAUAACCUGAAAAGGUGUUUGUCAUUAGUCGAAAGGAAAAGAUGAGUAUAAAAGGGCUGAGGUGUUUUGCAGGUGGCCGGUUCUUUUCUUCUUGAGCUCCAGGGCUGGAAACCAAGCCUCGGACCUGGAGCUCGUUCAACGCACACUGCACCACUGGACUGAAUCCCAGCCCCUAGGUUUCCAGUUCUGUGUCUGCUUUGAAAUUGUCUCCAGAGUCGGGUUGCUGACGGUCUGUGUAGUUCAGUUUCUCUAUAUCCAAGGUUUGACUUGUAGUAGGCGAGUCUGAAGACUAAAUCCUUUUAGUUAUCUCUUCUGUUCCGUUUUGAAGAGGCAUGCAAGCCAGCUGCCAUGAGUAGGGAAUAGAAGAAAUACCAGUAGUUGAGGAAUGGAGACGCAAACUUAAGAUGCGCUUACAGUUGUUGGUGUCUUUUGAGAUGGUCAUGAUUUGAGACCAUGUAGUUCUCCAGAUUGUUGAACCCACAGGGAUUUCCUAUGGGGUUGCUUGCUUGGAAACCUUCCUGGGCAAUCCGAUUAGCCUACAGUUGAAGCUCUCCCACACCAAUGCUGUAGGAAAUUACAAUGCUGUGGGGAAAAUACCACACACACACACACACACACAUGCACGCACACACGCACCGACACACACACAUACACACAGUCUUGAAAUUAAUUUUUCAAGCCUACAUUCACCAAUGUACACUGCAACCGAUUAUUUGAAAAAUGAUUAUAAGGUUACCUUCACCUAAUAUUUUAAAGGUUGGACAUAAAAGCUUCCUUCGUAUAAAUUGUACUUGACUGACUUUCCCACAAUGCCUUGCUACUGAAGAGCUGCAAGGGUGAUUAUAAUCCUAGCAAUUCAGCAAGAAAUAAAACCCAACCAAUAAAAACACAGAUAUUUGCAUAUUCGAUUUUGCUUUGCCAUCAAACUUACAGCCUUUCAAGCACCACACUAGGAAGAUACCUUUCCAAAUCUCCAGCAAUCAGUACAGACACUUUGAUUUUUGUUGUUGUUUGGCUUUAUGGAACAGGUUCUGUGUAACCCAGUCUGGCCUCAAACUCUCAAUCUUCCUUUCUUUAGCUCCCCAGUGUUGAAAUUACAGGUGCAUAACCACCAGACCUGGGUUCAAUUCAGGCAUUAACUUCAUUAGUUUUUAAACUGAGAACUGACACUGCCGUAUGUAAUUUAAGAUUAUCCAUCAACAUGAAACAGCUUUACUUUUGUCUCUUCUACUGAAAAGUUUGAUGCGUAAGGUCAAAUGCUUGAAACCGAAGUAAAAUAAUACAGCAAGCA